rnacentral:misc_RNA from 1 species
AAUUGUUGUGUGUCGAUAGAUAAACAAAGUUUAAUGAUGUUAUAUUCCGAGAUGUGAAUUGUAUUUAUAACAGAUUGCUUUAUAGAUGUAAAGCUAUAUUUAUUUUCAUACAAAUGUUGAUCAGUUUUUUGGAGAUGGUCUUGUUGAACAAAUGCUUUGUAACUUUUUUCCAGAGUUUGUGCUCAUAUUCUUCUAUCAUUGCUCAAAAUAUCAAAAUGGCCAUUCUGUAAGAAUAUUGCCUGACAUAUAGAUACAUUGAAUUUUGUUUUUUAUAAUUUUUUCUACAAAAUUCUAAAGGUUAAUGAUAAAAUUUAGAUGUGUUAUGAAUCAUAAAUGUUAUAUGUCACAACUGCCUUGGGAUUAGUGAAACUCCAUUUUCCUGUGUCAUUGAAAGGUUACAUUCCAGACUCUCCUUCAUUGAAAUAAGGCAUUCCCCUCUUUCCACAUGAUGUCCAUACAAACCCUUAUUCACCCUGAAUAUAAAGCAAGUUACGGUAAUCUUGUAUAAGGAGUAAGUGACUGGGAGAGAGUGUAACAUUGCUGUCAAGAAUAUGUAGAACUGAGCAUAUCCCAAUGAAACCUAUUCCUUUGAUUUCCCCCUAGAGAAGUUUAUCCAAGUUAUCAUUUACUUAAGGAAUGCAUAAGGUGUAGAAUUCAUGACUUAUUUUGGAGGCAGCCUAGGGGGGAUUAUGGGCCGGGAGACACCCCACUCCCCCCUUCCCAUUAAGCACUGAUCUGGAGCCACAUAUUUAUGUAUACUGAAUAAAAUGAACACAUCUACUGCACGGCAAAUUGUACCACAGGGUUUUUAGUGUAUAUAUGCAAUAUUUUUCUGUAUAUUUUAUUUUUAGAAGUGCUGUUAACUUAGAAGCUUUUUGCACAUUUAUAUCGAAGCUAUUUUAUUUAUGCAGUAUUUUUAUGUCAAGCACUGGUGUUUUGUUAGGGGUAGAAUGUGAUUAACAGAAUGUAAACAAGAUCAAGUAUCAAAAUAAUGUCUCCAAGGAAUGUAACUUGGAUAGAAAUCAGUUCAUUGAGUAUGUUUCAUGGUUAGGAAGUUUUUUCAGAGGCAAUUCUCUUGCUAAUUGUUUGAUAUCAAUUCCAGAUGUGAUUUUGAUACUGAGUUUUUAGAUUUCUAAUCAAAUUUUUUAUGACGUGUAAUUAAAUGGAGGACAUUUUUGAGAGUGAGCAAUUACUUGUCCAACACUGCUGGUAUUCUUCAGUAUUUAGUGCAAUUUCCCUCUUAAUUCAUCAUCAUGUCUGCUUAAAGACAAAUCAGUUAAACUGGUGUCUGGUAUUAUGUCAUACCAUGGCCAGAUCUUAUCCUGAUUUUAAGCCAACCUACAGAUUUCUUGUCAAAAAUUAUUGAAAUUACAAGUGGCGAAAUAAUUAGAGAAUAAGAAAAUGUUCUGACUUUUCCAGAAUUAGUCAAUUUCAGCAGGUUCUUGGCCUGGUGUGUGGCUGUCAGACAUCAGGAAUGAAAUUCUAUGCAGAUAAUAUGCAUUAGUUUUCCAUUUUUGUACCUUUUUGACCCAAAAUAUAAAAUUUCCAAGCAACAAAUAUAUUUUCAAUCCAUCUUGAUAGCGAGAUGUCAAUGUAAUUAUGUUGGAAGUAUUCGUACACAGGUCGGUCUUUAUCAUUCAUUGGUCAAACUCCUUCUCUUCCUGUGUUUAUAAGAGUAAAUGUGAUCAGAAUAUACAGUAUGCAAUGCCUUUUGUUACUUGUACUUAUAUCAAAUGUACUCAAUGACAAUAAAAGGUUGCCUCAAGAGAUAUAAAAGAAAAUAGAUAUCGGAUUUUUCUAUAUUUGGAGAGUUUUGUUAUGAGUUCUUGUUUUCAUCAGAGGAACAAUGUCACAAGAAUCAAACUUUUCUUCAUGGACUGUUUAUCAACAAUGUCUAGAGAAUGACUUCUUUUAACUGUUAAAAAAAAUCCAA